GACGGAGGGUGCAAGCGUUGUUCGGAAUUACUGGGCGUAAAGGGCGCGUAGGCGGUCUGUUAAGUUCGGUGUGAAAGCCCCCGGCUCACCUGGGGAACUGCGCCGGAAACCGACAGACUCGAGUACCGGAGAGGAGGGUGGAAUUCCUGGUGUAGCGGUGAAAUGCGCAGAUAUCAGGAGGAACACCUAUGGCGAAGGCAGCUCGCUGGGACGGUACUGACGCUGAGGCGCGAAAGCGUGGGGAGCGAACAGG
rnacentral:rRNA from 1 species